AGGUUUACAUUAAGCAGGAAAGUUUACCCCAAGUUGAACACCCUCAUGGAUACCAGCUCUUCCUGUUCUUUGUGGGAACACGCUGCUCCAUACGAAUGACUCCAACCUCCCAGUUGCUUGCCACUUCAAUAAACUAUCUUGCUCUCAUGCUAACAUGGGCCUGCUUUACAGUGUUCUAACAAAGCACAAUGCAAACUUGAAGAAGACUUCAUUUUCCACUGAGGCACUUUACCAGCUCAAGAUGCUGCCAGACAUUCUGAGUUUCUCCAGCGAUUUCUGUGUUUUCGAAUUUCUUCCUUUUGAGUCACUGAGUAUGUAUGCAGGU